rnacentral:rRNA from 2 species
UGGCUCAGAACGAACGCUGGCGGCAGGCCUAACACAUGCAAGUCGAGCGGCCAUAGCAAUAUGGCAGCGGCAGACGGGAGAGUAACACGUGGGAACGUACCCUUUGGUUCGGAAUAACUCAGGGAAACUUGAGCUAAUACCGGAUAAGUCCGUAAGGAGAAAGAUUUAUCGCCAAAGGAUCGGCCCGCGUCCGAUUAGCUAGUUGGUGGGGUAAUGGCCCACCAAGGCGACGAUCGGUAGCUGGUCUGAGAGGAUGAUCAGCCACACUGGGACUGAGACACGGCCCAGGGACAUACGGGAGGCAGC